GCUUUCAACAUCCCCGUUCCGGGGCGUGGUUUCCGAUCCAAACGGAGCUUCGCGGCCGGAACUGAAGGC
rnacentral:sRNA from 12 species